rnacentral:piRNA from 1 species
UCUUAGCUAAAGGCUCAUGAAUUUGUCU